AACCUGGUUGAUGCCUGCGAGUAGUCAUAUGCGUUGUGCUCAAAGAUUAAGCCAUGCAUGUCUCAGUAUAAGCUUCUAUAUGGCGAAACUGCGAAUGGCUCAUUAAAACAGUUAUAGUUUAUUUGGUGGUCAACUUCUACAUGGAUAACCGUGGUAAUUCUAGAGCUAAUACAUGCGCCCAAACCCAACUUCUUGGAAGGGUUGUGUUUAUUAGAUACAGAACCAACCCAGGCUCCGCCUGGCCUUGAGGUGAUUCAUAAUAACCGAACGAAUCGCAUGGCUCCGCCGGCGAUAGACCAUUCAAGUUUCUGACCUAUCAGCUAUCGUCGGUAGGGUAUUGGCCUACCGUGGCAAUGACGGGUAACGGAGAAUUAGGGUUCGAUUCCGGAGAGGGAGCCUGAGAAACGGCUACCACAUCUAAGGAAGGCAGCAGGCGCGCAAAUUACCCAAUCCUGACGCAGGGAGGUAGUGACAAGAAAUAACAGUACAGGGCAUAUCUGUCUUGUAAUUGGAAUGAGUAAACUUUAAAUCACUUUGCGAGUAUCAAUUGGAGGGCAAGUCUGGUGCCAGCAGCCGCGGUAAUUCCAGCUCCAAUAGC
rnacentral:rRNA from 1 species